GAUACCCUAUUAUACUAAUAAAUAUAAAUUAACCUGAAUUAUUAAUAGAUAUAAUCUUUAAAUUUGAAGAAUUUGGCGGUGAUUUAAUCUUAUUAGAGGAAUCUGUUUUUGGAUCGAUACACCACGUGAAAUCUUGCUUGUUUUAUAUUAGCCUAUAUACCGUCAUUAUCAGAUAAUUUUUAAAGAAAUUAAUUAUUAAAAUUUAUUGGAAAUAAAUAAAAUUAGAUCAAGGUGUAGCUUAUGAAUAAGUUAAAAUGGAUUACAAUAAAAUAUAUUUAUUACGGAGUAGAGGCAGGAAUGAGUACUAUGAAGGAGGAUUUAAUUGUAAUUAAAGUUUAAUAAGCUUUGAAGAUAUGAGCACUAAAUCAUGUACAU
rnacentral:rRNA from 1 species